rnacentral:rRNA from 1 species
GACGAGCGCUGGCGGCGUGCUUAACACAUGCAAGUCGAACGGGAUUUAGUAGACAGAAGCCUCGGCUAAAGAUUACUAAUGAGAGUGGCGAACGGGUGAGUAACGCGUGAGCAACCUGCCUAUGACAGUGGGAUAGCCUCGGGAAACCGGGAUUAAUACCGCAUAAAAUCGUAGAAACACAUGUUUUAACGGUCAAAGAUUUAUCGGUCAUAGAUGGGCUCGCGUCUGAUUAGCUAGUUGGUGAGAUAACAGCCCACCAAGGCGACGAUCAGUAGCCGGUCUGAGAGGAUGAACGGCCACAUUGGAACUGAGACACGGUCCAAACUCCUACGGGAAGCAGCAGUGGGGAAUAUUGCACAAUGGGGGAAACCCUGAUGCAGCGACGCCGCGUGAACGAAGAAGGUAUUCGUAUCGUAAAGUUCUGUCCUAUGGGAAGAUAAUGACAGUACCAUAGAAGAAAGCUCCGGCUAAAUACGUG